GCUUAGCCCUAAACCUCAGUAGUUAGAACAACAAAACUACUCGCCAGAACACUACAAGCAAUGGCUUGAAACUCAAAGGACUUGGCGGUGCUUUACACCCCCCUAGAGGAGCCUGUCCCAUAAUCGAUAAACCCCGAUCCACCCCACCCUCUCUUGCUCAGCCUAUAUACCGCCAUCUUCAGCAAACCCUGAUAAAGGCCACAAAGUGAGCGCAAACGCCCCUUUUCGCAAAAACGUUAGGUCAAGGUGUAGCCCAUGAGACGGUAAAAGAUGGGCUACAUUUUCUACCUCAGAAAACCUUACGAUAACUCUUAUGAAAUCUAAGAGCCCAAGGAGGAUUUAGCAGUAAAUUAAGAAUAGAGUGCUUAAUUGAACUAGGCCAUAAAGCACGC
rnacentral:rRNA from 1 species